GUGGGGAAUAUUGGACAAUGGGCGAAAGCCUGAUCCAGCCAUGCCGCGUGUGUGAAGAAGGUCUUCGGAUUGUAAAGCACUUUAAGCGAGGAGGAGGCUACCGAGAUUAAUACUCUUGGAUAGUGGACGUUACUCGCAGAAUAAGCACCGGCUAACUUCGUGCCAGCAGCCGCGGUAAUACGAAGGGUGCAAGCGUUAAUCGGAAUUACUGGGCGUAAAGCGCGCGUAGGCGGCUUUUUAAGUCGGAUGUGAAAUCCCCGAGCUUAACUUGGGAAUUGCAUUCGAUACUGGGAAGCUAGAGUAUGGGAGAGGAUGGUAGAAUUCCAGGUGUAGCGGUGAAAUGCGUAGAGAUCUGGAGGAAUACCGAUGGCGAAGGCAGCCAUCUGGCCUAAUACUGACGCUGAGGUACGAAAGCAUGGGGAGCAAACAGGAUUAGAAACCCUUGUAGUCC
rnacentral:rRNA from 1 species